GUGGAUAUAGCUCAGUGGUAGAGUGCGUGCUUAGCAUGCACAAGGUCCUGGGUUCAAUCCCCAGUACCUCCA
rnacentral:tRNA from 1 species